CCUACGGGAGGCUGCAGUGGGGAAUAUUGGACAAUGGGGGGAACCCUGAUCCAGCGACGCCGCGUGAGUGAAGAAGUAUUUCGGUAUGUAAAGCUCUAUCAGCAGGGAAGAAAGAAAUGACGGUACCUGACUAAGAAGCCCCGGCUAACUACGUGCCAGCAGCCGCGGUAAUACGUAGGGGGCAAGCGUUAUCCGGAUUUACUGGGUGUAAAGGGAGCGUAGACGGUUACGCAAGUCUGGAGUGAAAGGCGGGGGCCCAACCCCCGGACUGCUUUGGAAACUGUAUAACUGGAGUGCAGGAGAGGUAAGUGGAAUUCCUAGUGUAGCGGUGAAAUGCGUAGAUAUUAGGAGGAACACCAGUGGCGAAAGCGGCUCUCUGGUCUGUAACUGACGCUGAGGUUCGAAAGCGUGGGUAGCAAACAGGAUUAGAUACCCUUGUAGUC
rnacentral:rRNA from 1 species